UGGGGGAUAUUGCUCAAUGGGGGAAACCCUGAAGCAGCAACGCCGCGUGAAGGAUGAAGGUUUUCGGAUUGUAAACUUCUUUGAUUGGGGACGAAUAAUGACGGUACCCAAAAAACAAGCCACGGCUAACUACGUGCCAGCAGCCGCGGUAAUACGUAGGUGGCGAGCGUUGUCCGGAAUUACUGGGUGUAAAGGGCGUGCAGGCGGGGAUAUAAGUCAGAUGUGAAAUACCAUGGCUCAACUGUGGCACUGCAUCUGAAACUAUAUUUCUUGAGUGCUGGAGAGGAAAGUGGAAUUCCUAGUGUAGCGGUGAAAUGCGUAGAUAUUAGGAGGAACACCAGUGGCGAAGGCGGCUUUCUGGACAGUAACUGACGCUGAGGCGCGAAAGCGUGGGGAGCGAACAGG
rnacentral:rRNA from 1 species